AACCUACCAUCUGGCUUGCUUCUGUGCACAAUAUCUUCUCCUGGCUGCAUUAAUUCCCUUGUUCAGCUUUCCUUGACCUCUCUUUCUGUACAUAUUUCAGGCACAUCUUCUGGGAGAGAACUAAGAAAAUGUCACUCUGGCAGCAUAUUCGGAGCCGCCACGAGGAAAAAGGCGUUAUCUACGCUAUCUUGUUUACAUGUUGUUGCUGUUUCUGCUGCUACGAGACUCUUGAGUUCAUCUUGGACCAUGGGACGCGUUUCUUGCCUCUCCUUUAAGCCAAUGUUCUCCCUACACUUUGUUUUUGCUUUUGGGAAGAUGACCUGAUCUUAUUGUUAUCUAAUAAUGUGAGUGUAAGGAGAAAUAAUGCAUGUAGUUGAGUUUAAUUUGAUGGUCAAAAGAGUCGACUUAAGAUGAGACAUGAUCACGUCGUAAGUCUGAUUUUCUUUAGCACAAAAGAUCCCGAGUACGGCUUGACAAGAUAAUGUAAUAACUCGGAGUUUAUCCUAAAUGGAGGCUGUUUACCAAAAAACUCUAAUAAUGUCAGUUUGACUCUGGUUUACAUUUUCUGUUGAAAUACGGACAGAUGGUGUCACUUUUGCAUGUUGCGAGUUGUACCCUUAGAUUAAUGUGAUUCAGAAAUGGAUGAUCGA